rnacentral:rRNA from 1 species
UAGGGAAUCUUCGGCAAUGGGGGCAACCCUGACCGAGCAACGCCGCGUGAGUGAAGAAGGUUUUCGGAUCGUAAAGCUCUGUUGUAAGUCAAGAACGAGUGUGAGAGUGGAAAGUUCACACUGUGACGGUAGCUUACCAGAAAGGGACGGCUAACUACGUGCCAGCAGCCGCGGUAAUACGUAGGUCUCGAGCGUUGUCCGGAUUUAUUGGGCGUAAAGCGAGCGCAGGCGGUUUGAUAAGUCUGAAGUUAAAGGCUGUGGCUCAACCAUAGUUCGCUUUGGAAACUGUCAAACUUGAGUGCAGAAGGGGAGAGUGGAAUUCCAUGUGUAGCGGUGAAAUGCGUAGAUAUAUGGAGGAACACCGGUGGCGAAAGCGGCUCUCUGGUCUGUAACUGACGCUGAGGCUCGAAAGCGUGGGGAGCGAACAGGAUUAGAUACCCUGGUAGUCCACGCCGUAAACGAUGAGUGCUAGGUGUUGGAUCCUUUCCGGGAUUCAGUGCCGCAGCUAACGCAUUAAGCACUCCGCCUGGGGAGUACGACCGCAAGGUUG